rfam:Canis lupus familiaris chromosome 7, whole genome shotgun sequence.
AGAUAUGAGGGCAAGCUGGCUGUGACAUCUGUCACCCCAUUGAUUGCAAGAUGAAUGCAGCUGGUCCAGCUGGCUAGGCAGGUGUCCCCAUCUUCUCUCACCACUCCAUGGGCAUCCUUCCUAAAGCUGCAAGCUUGGUCAAAGAGGAUGACCUUCCCUGAUAGAUGAAGACCAUUCUUCAUCAAGGGUAUAUGAGUAGCUAUGCUCCCCUGCUAGAACCUUCAAACAAGCCCUUAAGGUCCAAUUGUAGGAGAAGGGCAGUCAAGCUUCCAAGACUCCAAACACAUCCACAUGAGGUGCUGCAUGCGGCAGUCUGCUUUAAAAA